rnacentral:rRNA from 1 species
GACGAACGCUGGCGGCGUGCUUAACACAUGCAAGUCGAGCGGAAAGGCCCUUUCGGGGGUACUCGAGCGGCGAACGGGUGAGUAACACGUGAGUAAUCUGCCCCUGGCUUUGGGAUAGCCACCGGAAACGGUGAUUAAUACCGGAUACGACCACUUCUCGCAUGGGAUGGUGGUGGAAAGUUUUUCGGCCAGGGAUGUGCUCGCGGCCUAUCAGCUUGAUGGUGAGGUAAUGGCUCACCACGGCUUCGACGGGUAGCCGGCCUGAGAGGGUGACCGGUCACACUGGGACUGAGACACGGCCCAGACUCCUACGGGAGGCAGCAGUGGGGAAUAUUGGACAAUGGGCGGAAGCCUGAUCCAGCAACGCCGCGUGAGGGAUGACGGCCUUCGGGUUGUAAACCUCUUUCAGCAGGGACGAAGCGCAAGUGACGGUACCUGCAGAAGAAGCACCGGCCAACUACGUGCCAGCAGCCGCCGCCG